UCAAGGUGUUGGCAGGGUGAGUUUCUA
rnacentral:piRNA from 1 species